rnacentral:miRNA from 1 species
UUGAGGUUGCAGUGAGCUAUGAUCACACCACUGCACUCCAGCCUGAGUGACAGAGCAAGACUUUGUCU